AGAGUUUGAUCUUGGCUCAGGAUGAACGCUGGCGGCGUGCUUAACACAUGCAAGUCGAACGAGGAACACUGAUGAAGUUUUCGGAUGGAAUCGGUAUUCCGAGUGGCGGACGGGUGAGUAACGCGUGGGUAACCUGCCCUGUACAGGGGGAUAACAGUUGGAAACGACUGUUAAUACCGCAUAAGACCACAGUGCCGCAUGGCACAGGGGUAAAAACUCCGGUGGUACAGGAUGGACCCGCGUCCAAUUAGCUAGUUGGUGAGGUAACGGCCCACCAAGGCGACGAUUGGUAGCCGAUCUGAGAGGAUGACCGGCCACAUUGGGACUGAGACACGGCCCAAACUCCUACGGGAGGCAGCAGUGGGGAAUAUUGGUCAAUGGGCGGAAGCCUGAACCAGCCAUGCCGCGUGCGGGAAGACGGCCCUACGGGUUGUAAACCGCUUCUGUGUGGGAGCAAUAAGGUGGCUUCGCGCCACUGAUGAGAGUACCAUACGAAUAAGCAUCGGCUAACUCCGUGCCAGCAGCCGCGGUAAUACGGAGGAUGCGAGCGUUAUCCGGAUUCAUUGGGUUUAAAGGGUGCGUAGGCUGUGCUCUAAGUCAGGGGUGAAAUACCGUCGCUCAACGUCGGGGCUGCCCUUGAUACUGGGGUGCUGGAGUGCGGAUGCCGUUGGAGGAAUGAGUGGUGUAGCGGUGAAAUGCAUAGAUAUUACUCAGAACACCGAUUGCGAAGGCAUCUCACGAAACAGGCAUUGACGCUGAGGCACGAAAGCGUGGGGAUCAAACAGGAUUAGAUACCCUGGGUAGUCCACGCAGUAAACGAUGAUGACUAACCGCUGGCGAUAUAGUGUCAGUGGCCAAGCGAAAGCGAUAAGUCAUCCACCUGGGGAGUACGACCGCAAGGUUGAAACUCAAAGGAAUUGACGGGGGCCCGCACAAGCGGAGGAACAUGUGGUUUAAUUCGAUGAUACGCGAGGAACCUUACCCGGGCUCGAACGGUGCAGGAAGGAUCUAGAGAUAGUGACGCCCUUCGGGGCCUGCAUCGAGGUGCUGCAUGGUUGUCGUCAGCUCGUGUCGUGAGAUGUUGGCUCAAGUGCCAUAACGAGCGCAACCCUUGCCGCCAGUUACCAUCAAGUGAAGUUGGGGACUCUGGCGGGACUGCCACCGUAAGGUGUGAGGAAGGCGGGGAUGACGUCAAAUCAGCACGGCCCUUACGUCCGGGGCGACACACGUGUUACAAUGACGCCUACAGAGGGAAGCCACCCGGCGACGGGGAGCAGAUCUCGAAAAGGCGCCUCAGUUCGGACUGGAGUCUGCAACCCGACUCCACGAAGCUGGAUUCGCUAGUAAUCGCGCAUCAGCCAUGGCGCGGUGAAUACGUUCCCGGGCCUUGUACACACCGCCCGUCAAGCCAUGAAAGCCGGGGGCGCCUGAAGUCCGCGACCGCAAGGAGCGGCCUAGGGCGAAACUGGUAAUUGGGGCUAAGUCGUAACAAGGUAGCCGUA
rnacentral:rRNA from 1 species